rnacentral:tRNA from 1 species
CACCGCGUAGUGUAGUGGUUAGCACGCUCGACUCUCACUCGAGAGGUCCGGGUUCGAAUCCCGGAGGCGGCGA